AGCGGCUACCCUCUGCAGGCCCGGCCCGCACAACAGAGGCUGUAUGCGAGAGGAAUGGAAAUGAGCCUCAGGCCCUGCCGAAGGAGCCCCAUCCCCUUCCCCGCGCGGGGCUGAGGAAUGCUGGCCAGCCGGAAAGGAACCCUCGCUGGGAACGCCGCUCUCGCGCCUCUGAAACCCCAUUGAGAAGAACCCUUUGAUGCAAUUAAAGCGCAUUUCAUUGCAGGCCUGGGAGGAGGGAACGACCGGCAAGCUUUUUUCUGUCUCGGACGUGUGUGUGCACCUUUGUGGGCCGGGUUACUUGGAGACCAGGCGGGAACUGGAGCUCCCUCUCUCGCAGACGUUCUGUAACAUCAGAAAAGCGUACCCAUAAACAGAUUGGUUUUCACCAGGGGUGGAACCCAAUUUGGACACGAUCCAGGCUGACCUGCAGGCCGGGGUUCCUACUUUGAAAGGCUCUUUGGUGCGCCUUACACCCACCUUCCCUGCUGUAAAGGUUUAGGCGGAAAAGAAAUUGCGUUUGCAGGAGGAAGUUGUUUCUGAGGUUACUGCUCAGCAUUUUCCAUUUUCUCAGUGGUGGGGUGGGCCGUGUCGCAUAUCCAGAAGUGAUGUCACAGCCAGACCUGCAAAAUGAUGUAACCUGCAAGUGUUGAAGGACGACGAUGGGACAGCUAUUUUGAUACUCGUAUUAUUUUAUAACAUUUCCCUACUUUUUCCAUUGAGACAACUGUGUGACCUCAGAAAAUCCACAUAGCCUCUCUGAACUUAGUAUUUUUUUGUGUUAAAAUGAAUAUCACAAAGCCAGAGAACGAAUGUGAUGAAGUUCUGGGUGCUUGUGGAAUUCUUUCUAAGUUGGAGGUGGACACUUUAUAUACCUGCACAGGGGGAAGAUACGUGGGUCUGGAACUCCGGUAAACAAAAAGAUCCUAUUGGGACCUCUA
rnacentral:lncRNA from 1 species